UACGUAGGGGGCUAGCGUUGCUCGGAAUUACUGGGCGUAAAGCGCACGUAGGCGGUCUUUUAAGUCGGGGGUGAAAUCCUGGAGCUCAACUCCAGAACUGCCUUCGAUACUGGAAGACUUGAGUCCGGGAGAGGUGAGUGGAACUGCGAGUGUAGAGGUGAAAUUCGUAGAUAUUAGCUAGAACACCAGUGGCGAAGGCGGCCAACUGGUCCGGUACUGACGCUGAGGUGCGAAAGCGUGGGGAGCAAACAGG
rnacentral:rRNA from 1 species